AUGGAGGACGAGAUGAUAGCCUCCGCGGUUUCGGAUGCCGCGGCAGAGAGGGAGCGGAGGAAGGAGGAGGCGCGGGGGAGGCGGUGUGCGCGGCGCGCGAGGCGCGGGCGUCGCUGGCCGGAGCGGGCCCCGGACGGGUGGGGCGAGGCGGUGGCGGGGGCCGCUCGGACCGUGCGGUUCGCCUACGGGCAGACGCUCGGCAAGUGGUCCCUCGGGGAGCUCGCCUUCGGGAUCAACUACUACAUGCGGCAGCAGGGUAACCUGCAGCAUGAGUAUGCUGGGAGUGAUUCUGUACGAUUGGGAGGGCCUGGGGCAAGAGAGGAGCUGAUUUCAUUACUCAGAUAUAUGAAGUUAUGCAUGUAUUUCUCAAAGAAGCCAUACAAAGUGUUUUUGGAAUUUGGUGGAUUUGAUCAGAGUGAUGUUCUUAUUAAGAAAUCUAAGGCGAGGUUUCUGAAGCCUGCUUUCACAAUUGUCCGUGAUAGAGACUCCAAAUGCUUUCUCCUUUUCAUUCAGGGGGCUAUUAGUGUUAAGGAAAGGUUGACAGCAGCAACUGGAGCAGACAUUCCAUUUCAUCAUGUUGUGGCUAAGGAUGGCUGUGUAUCCAACCUAGUGCUGGGGUAUGCGCACUGUGGGAUGGCUACAGCGGCUCGCUGGAUCGCAAAUCAGGCCAUUCCUUGCCUCAGUAAGGCAGUAGAGCAAUUCCCGGACCACAGAAUUACGAUCAUUGGGCAUUCAAUGGGUGCCAGUAUCGCUGCAUUAUUGACAUACAUUCUGCGUGAGAAUGACAAGUUAUUAUCAGCCACAUGUAUCGCAUUUGGACCAGCUGCUUGCAUGACAUGGGACUUGGCUGAGUCGGGUAAAGACUUCAUUACGACCAUCGUCAAUAGAAAUGAUGUAGUGCCAUCUCUUGGUAGAGUUUCGACUGCCAAACUCCGUACAGAGGUGAUGGCAUCAUCAUGGGUGCAUGAACUUCGUGAACAAAUUCAACAGACUAGAUUCUUAGGUUUCGUCAAUCGCUCUGUGAGCUUCAUGCGAUCUCAUGUACCCUUCGUAUCAGAUCCAAAAUCUAAAGUUGUAGAUGUCGAUAUGCUUCAGCCUCCCACUUCCGAGGCUGGGACCAGAUCUUCAGAAGAUGUCAAUUGUGUUACGAAGAAACGUUCUACUCUUGUUUGCUGGUCAUGUUCUUCUGCACGGAAGCAGACUGUUGACCCUGCAAAACAUACUCGGUACAUUACAAAUCAAACUGAUGUUGAUGUGAAAACUGAAAAAAACGACACUGAAGCGGCUGAUACAGAGUUAGUCUCAAUUUCUUUUGGGGAGUUAAACCUUCAACCAUUAGAUAAUGAAGAUACCGACAAAGAGGACAUCAAAUCACCUCUGAAAAGUUCAAGUGAAGGACAGGUCAGAGAAUCCUUAACCAACAAGCAGAUGGAGCCGUCAUCGUCAAGCCCUUCUGAAGAUCCCCUCCAGCUAUACCCUCCAGGAAGAAUACUGCACAUGGUUGCAUUGCCAGCUGCUGAAGAGCCCAACACAAGUGAGCAAGGUAGCCGGGAGGAGGUUGUCACCCUGUACGAGACACCUCGACAUCUCUACAGCAAGAUUCGUCUGGGGAGGUCUAUGGUAGGGGAACAUUACAUGCCCAAGUACAUCAGGACAAUGGAGCUGUUGAUUGAGAAGCUCGCGAAGGAGGACAUGGACAGUGACCAACUGGACUUGUUGUAG
rnacentral:rRNA from 1 species